UCUCCUCCUCCGCCGCCGCCCCCAUCUUGGCCCUCUCUAGUUAGCGACUUCCUGCCCUGCCCGCGCCGCGCCACCGUAUCCUCCUCCUUUGCACCGCUGCCGUCCUGCUCCUGCCCGUCGUCCAACUCCUGCUCCUCCACCGGAACCAACCGGAGCACGCCUGGAAGUGGAGAAAUCCCCGUCCUUCUCUGUACUGGAUCUGGAUCGGCUCCCAUGAUUCUUCCUCCCUCUGUUGGCAGAUCUCUUAUCUUUGUGAACUUUUGUGAUGAUCCGGCAUGGAGGUCAAACCCGACGCCGGCUUGUCGGAGCGGAGUGGCCGUGCGGUGGCCUACGGCACGGCUCACUGGAGGCAGCAGUGCAGCGGCAUCGCCGUUUCCUUCCCCGUCCAUGAGCGGUGCAGCCAACCUCUGGCCUCUGCUUCUUCCUCCCUGACGGCAGCAUGGAACAAAUAGUGGGUUCUGCUAACCCCGACCGCGGCCUAACAUGCAUGGACUGAAGCGCUGGACAGGCGCCCACUACUCGGCUCUGCAUGUCUGGGUCAUCUAAGAUAAGUUGUUCUGUCUCUUCCUUAAGUGAGAUCGUGUGCUUCUCUGAUCCAGUUGUAGUAAGUUGUACAAGGCCUUAGCUGGUUUUCAGGGAGGAACUUCACCUCAUGGGUGAAACUUGGGUAAAACUACGGGCAUACAAAAUACAUCUUUGUUUUGUUGCCUUACAAACAUGGUUGUGAACGAACUGAAUGUUGGCAAACAACUGUAUAUCCAUCCUCACUUAUUCUGAUAUUUUUGGAAGUGAAAGGUAGUAAGGAUAGCACAGAGAGCAGAGAGCACACUGGGUAUGUUGGAAAAAUUGGUCGAAGUUACAGUCCAGUAGCUGGCAUAAAUAUAGGACAACUAGAAUGCCUAAAUGCACAAAAUGUUGAUGGUAAGACAUGCUUGACAACUACCUAACACGAUUAGAUUAUUCUUUUCGUAAAUUUAGACAAAAAAUAGUAUUGUCUUCACAAUGUCCACCACUGAAUAUCUUUGUGCAUUUCUAGACCUUGAAGUUAUAUAAAAAAAUCCAGUUUAUCUUCUCACUUGUGUCCUGGAAGGUUUCAGCAUCUGUACCCAUAUCCGUGAUUGCUUUUACAUGUGUUCUGAUUCAGCUUGUACCUUCAUUAACGUGAAGUAAUUUUUAAGAUAUAUAUAGACUAAAUUUGUUGUCUGAUUCAUGCAAGCCUUGUUUCUGUUGCUGCCACUUUGUAUAAAUAUAUACUGGUUCGUGCAAGCCUUGCUCCUACUUCAAAUUUGUAGUCUGAACGUACCUAUAUAUCCGUGCAUCAGACUAAAUUUGUAGUAUGAUUCGUGAAGUAGGAGCAAGGCUUGUUCCUACUGCUGCCACCUUGUAUAAAUAUAUACUGGUUCAUUUCAUUUCAUUAUUAUUUUUUGUUAUAAAUAAUAGUACUAUGUUGGUCAAGUGGGCAGCAUAUAAAAUUGUUAUGCACAGAAGUAACGCAGAUAAUAAAAUCAAUGUGUUUAUGAUAGAAAAGCUUUUCUGUAUAUUUUGAAUGAAUAUAAAUGAUGCAUGAUCAUUUCAAGCUGCACUUCCCUAUCCAUUAUUUCAUUGUUUAUCAAGUAUUUUCAAGUUUCAUAGUCCACUACAUUACAAAUUUUGUUUUUUCAUCUAAAAACAAAUACAUAGCUUAAUGUUCCAUGAAUAAAACCAAGUGUGGGAGAUCUCUCAAGGAAACUGUAUCAUAUUCUUUGGUGAAAUUUUCCAUGCCAUUUGAAGUUCACUUGGCAGGCAAGUAUUGUUUACUACUCCCUCUGUCCCAUAAUGUAAGAUGUUUUUUGACACUACACUAGUGUCAAAAAACGUCCUAUAUUAUGGGACGGAGGGAGUAUUUGUUAGCCCAUUGAGAUGUAGUUGCAACAUAAACAUUGCUGCUGCUCGUCGACCCUGAUGACAUAAACUUCAAAUAUUUACGUGUCAACAAGUCUACACAUCAUGGGGGGAUAUUGUUUGUUAGUGAUAUGCCAUUCCGUUGGCGGGUUUAUAUGGCCUCAACUACUGCUGCUAUAGUACUUGGAGCUCUGUGAUGUGUAUUUUUUCACUUUGUCAUGUGAAUUUCAUUUGACACACUUUUCUUUGUAUUAAUUUUAAGAAACCACGUGUUUACUCUUGUUUUAUACUCCAUCUGUGGGCACUAUAAGAUUUAGGAAUUCUGGACAUCAUGUAAUUCAUUUUUUAUUUUUGUUGCAAUUCUCUUAUUUCUACUAUCCAUUCAUAUCUCCAAAUAUCUAAUAUUCUUGUAAAUAUGCUAGGUAAUAUUGGAUAGAGUGCUACUUGGUGCUGCCCAUCACAAUCAUCCACAACAUGAUAGUUGCCAUCAAGAGCGUCGACGCAAGAGCCUGAAUAACAACAGACUCAAUAGUUUAUGUGUUCUGUUGAUGUAAAAUGGAUUGUAUUGGUUCACAACUCUAUUGUGUGAUAUAUUUUCUCAACCUAUGUUGUAUGUUAUCAUUUUGUAGAGGAUUUUUUAAACUGCUAUGUUUGUAGAUACGUACAAAUGGAUGUGAUAAACUUUAUAAUGUUUCA